CACGCCUUUAGCAAGCAAACGGAGCAGCCCACGGCGUCCACGCGUGUAGUUCACGCUCGUGUCGUCUUCCUCAUCAGUUGUGCUCCAGCAACUUUUCAGCGAGGAAGCUCGCACAGCUUUCCCCUGCAACAGCCGAGAAAUCGUUCUCGCAGCUCCGAGAUGAGGCCACGUCGAGCGGCAGGGGUGUUGAAGAAAAUAUUGGGGAGAAAACAGAAGAAAGGUGGGAGAAAAUAGAUAGUUACAUAGAGUUGAAAAAAAAAAUACUAGUUCGAGAGACAAGCUUACAUUUUAGAGAUUGAAGACAACAUAUAGAAACCAAAUUUGAAGUGAAGCUAAGGUUCUCAAUGUUUGAGCUAGCUUUUAUUCGGUCUAGCGUUUAGUCCCUUCCUCGUUCCUUUCUUAUGCACUCACCGUCUCCGGAGCUCGCUGAAGUUAUCAGAUUCUCAUUGUGGUCGUGGAAAGUUGUUUCCCUUGCUCGUAUAGUCUCAGUCGCUGCCCCAGAGAAAGGUAACGCCUCCUCCUUUAUUUACGUCUUAUUUUGAUUCUGAGAACUAUGUGAUGAGUAUUCUGUUGGUUUCUCUGGCUUCAUCCUUGUUUUCUUCUUUAUUUCGACUUCUAUACUCUUCUUUGAAAGUCCGUUUGGCUGGAAUUUCUAAGUGAUCAUUGUGUCAUUCAUUUCAUUGUCUUAGUUAAAUGUAUGAAUCCGAAUUUAUAAAUGCUUAAAACUUGGCUUUCGUUUUGUUUCAAAUAUCGUCUUGCCAUAAUUGUCUGCAUGUGUGUAAACUUUCAUUUUGAUCAUAUUUUACCUCUAGAUCAGUGUUAGUUCACAUUCAUAUGACUCGUUCGUCUUCAUGUCAUUUUGUAGUAUGAUUUCAUUAGACUCGUGUAGUGUUUGGUGAUUAGAUGUUCUCGUAACUCAUCCAUUCAUCCUAGAUGGUCCAAUGUUUUGCUUUGAAUUCAAAGAGUUUGUUGCUAACUAAUAUAUCUUCAUACGAUUGAUCAUUGUUCUGUUGCAUUUGCUUAAAUUUGUUCCAUGCCUUCUUGAUUUGAAAUGGUCUAAUACCUAUCUAUUCAACAAGGUAUUAGUUUAGCAUGAGAUUUCUUUAGGUAGUGUCUCUCUUUGUCCCCUCUUACAUCCUCUAGUUGAUAGUACUUGUUUGGGUUCACUGUGUUUUUAUUUUCGGGUCUCCUAUCGCGUUUAUGUUCCGAUUUUUUGUGUCCGCUAUUAUGAGAAGCAUGCUUUUUGAUCCGUCUGCUCUCUGUUAAUCAUGUCGUUAAUAUGUACUUGGUCUUGUGAUACCUUUUCUGCCUAUUUUUGGUCUGAGUAUAAAGGGGUUCAUAAAUGAAGAUUGUUACCAAUUUUUUUGCUAUCUAGGAAAGGAUUUCAAAAAGGUGCAUUUGAGAUAAAUGUUUAAUAGGAAUAUUUAGUUGAUGGCUUAAUUGCUCACUGUUUUCUUAUUAAAUGUCUUCAUUUGGACUUCUUACUUUGCUCUUAAGGAAAAUUUCUAUCAUGCUUUUGGUUUUUAGAAGUUAUGGCAUGUUUGGAGUCAAUUUGCCAUGACUGCCAUGUCCAUGUUGUCUGUACAUACAUAUACGCCUAUUCUAGGACCUCUUUAUUUUGAUUUUGCAAGUGUUUGAAUAAUCACUGCACUUAUUCACAUCUUGUUUUGUCUCAUUGAUUCGUUUUCUUGGUUAUAUGUCGUUCUCCUCUAGCUAAUUUUUGUCUUUCUUUUUAUGGCAUUGACCGAGUCCCUUGGAAUUUCUCACUUCCUCUUGCUUCCGCUAUAUGAGCCGUGAAGGCUCAAUUUUCUCUGUUGAUUCAGCCAUCUUGGCCAAUUAAGGAAGCAGAUGGAUAGGUUAAGCAACUAUAUGGUGCUGGAAAUUCAUUUUUUAGCCCUUAAAAGUCGAAAAAAAAGCUGAUAUACCGGAUGUAUACACUGGUAUACGGUAGAAAUAUAUGGUAUGUAGUUGAAAAUGCGCCAAUACAGGAAAAACGUAGAAAUACGAAGAUUUGGAAAAAUUUACAGGUAUGGGAGAUCAAGGAUUAUCGAUAUAUUGACUAACUUUUGGUUCAAUUUUGUUUAUUCCCAAAGGAUAGUCAUUUCUUUCUAUAUUCAAUAUACAUAAAUAUUUAUUUUACCUA